rnacentral:lncRNA from 1 species
UUCUCUCCCAGUUCCCCCACUUCGCUCCCAGUUUGGUCCCAGUUCACUCCCACUUACCCCAGUUCACUCCCAGUUUGCUCCCAGUUCCCCCAGUUCAAUCCCAGUCUCUCCUAGUUCACUCCCAGUUACCCCAGUUCACUCCCAGUUACCCCAGUUUGGUCCCAGUUUGCUCCCAGUUACUCCAGUUCAGUCCCAGUUUGCUCCCAGUUCACUCCCAGUUCGCUCCCAGUCUCUCCCAGUUUGUCCCAGUUCACUCCGAGUUGCCCCAGUUCAGUCCCAGUUCCCCCAAUUCAGUCCCAGUUCAAUCACAGUCUGCUCCCAGUUCCCCCAGUUCACCCCUAGUUCAGUCCCAGUUCUCUCCCACUUACCCCAGUUUGGUCCCAGUUCUCUCCCAGUUUGUCCCAGUCUCUCCCAGUUACCCCAGUUCAGUCUCAGUUUGCUCCCAGUUAUCCCAGUUUGUCCCAGUCUCUCCCAGUUACCCCAGUUCGCUCCCAGUUCCCCCAGUUCAAUCCCAGUCUCUCCUAGUUCACUCCCAGUUACCCCAGUUUGGUCCCAGUUCUCUCCCAGUUACCCCAGUUUGGUCCCAGUUCUCUCCCAGUUAACCCAGUUUGGUCCCAGUUACCCCAGUUUGGUCCCAGUUACCCCAGUUUGGUCCCAGUUCUCUCCCAGUUCUCUCCCAGUCUGUCCCAGUUACCCCAAUUCUCUCCCAGUUCUCUCCCAGUUUGUCCCAGUUCGGUUCCGUUUCUCUCCCGGAAGUCGCCGCCGGCCGCGCGCCGCUCACGUGACCCCCCGCCCCUUUAGCCCCGCCCCCGUUGCCGCGGCAACCGCGCCGUCUUUCCGGCCCACCACGUGAUCCGCGCCCCGACCAAUCGGCGGCCGGCGCGGGGCAGCGCUCGGCCAAUCAGAGCGCGGGGAGGCGGCGCGCGCGCGGCUGUGUGCUGGCCUGGGCGCCGCCAUGUUGGGGGGGGCACCAAGAGCAC